AGAGAUAGACAUGAAGAGACUCACAAGAGAAAGAAGAGAGGCCCACGAAUCCAAGGAGGGAGGAUAAGUAAAAGCUAGCAAGCUUUGAUCAAAUAAGAAAGAAGAAGAAGAAUAGAACCACAAAGGUAAGCCUCAAAUUCUAGAACUCUUCAUCUCUUUUGAUUUUAUUUCUUUGAGUUGAUUAGUUGUUGGUGGUUAUUGUAAUGGAAGAUCGUGAUGGAUCUUGAAGAUAUAAGGAUAGAUUUUUUGGAUAUUGGAUGUUAACAUGUUAGGAUUUCAUGAAAAUCAAGUUUUUAAGCAUGCACAUCAUUUGUUUGAUAACCUAGAAGAAAUUAUUAUAUUUAAAUAUGAAAAUUAUCUACUAUUUGUGGAAAUUUUUAGAUGUAUAUGUCAGUUAUGAGUUAACUCAAGAUGGUUUGAUGGUUUGAAAUGAUUUCAAAAUGGGAUUUGAAGAAAUUCUUACAAACUAGUUAAAAUUAAAAUCGUAAGCCUAUGAGUUAAGGAUGGAAAAACAUUAUGUAGAUGACUUUAAUCGAACUAAUGAAAUCGUUAGAUCAUAAGAUGUAUAUUAAAUUCCGAGAAGAAGGAAUUAAGUGUAUGGGAGUUAUGAAAAUGUUUCCAUUGGAACAGAGUAAAAAAUGUGUUAAAACGAAGUCCUGAAGAUUUUUUUUGGUAAAAGAUGUAAAAUGAAGAAAAGUUAGUCUCGGGGAUGGGGGAACUUUUGAGCCAAUUUUUUAGGAUUGUUAGAGAAUAUGAAAAAUUAUUUCGUUCGAAGGGAUGCCUAGAGAAUGUUACAACAAAGAAAAUGACGUAAGACCGAGCUCAUUCCGAUAUCGGACAAGCAAGUUAUGAUGCAUCAAAGUAAGCACGUUAAAACUAUACGAAGUCAAAAUUUUGACAAAGUUUGAAAAAGUGCAGAGGCUUCAGUGGCUGCAGAGCCGUCUACUCUAGCCAUAAGCUAAUUUGAGACCGCCAGCGCUAGAUUCGCAUAUCCAGAUCCGUCCACAUUGGCCAUAGGGAAAAUUAAGAUUCGGUUGCGCUGGAUCCGUAGAAGGUUGGACAAUCUAGACAUCCUUUAGUAAAGUGGACAUAACUCUUUUGUAUGAACUUCGAUUGAGGUGAUUCAAGAUGAUCCGAAAAGAUAAGAAAUAGACCUAAAAUUUUUAUUAUUUAAGUUUUGAGAUUUGAGGUCGGGAGAAGGGUCUAAAAUGGCCAUUUGUAGGACUGUUGUGCAGUUGAAGGCAAUCGAAGGGCGUCGGGCAUGCGCGUAUACAAUGUGUAAUGCUUCUGACAAUAAAAUAUAUUAUUCUAAGUUCUAAAACUUUAACAUUAUGAAAUAUAAUGAUAUUUAACAUUAAUCAAUGAUGAAUUAGAUAAGUGUAUAAGCAUGCUAAGUAUAUGCAAAGGUGGCAAAUCGGGCAUGUGACAUAUGAACGUCAAAACGUCGUGACACAUGUUAAUGAACUUAAAAGGUGUUUCAAUUCAAAUGAAAUGAACAUGAUAAUAUAUGGAGUGGGGUUAAUAUAAACCAAUAAGGAUGUAUGAUUAUGAGGGUUGUAACGUUUAUGAACGACACGACGCUUAGAAAUGUUUGGAAGAUGGUCGCGUUAAUUAAACUAUAAUGCGCGAACAAUAUGAAAUAAGAAUUAAUAUAAACCAAGUUGAGCGUCAUUAAGUGACUAAUUGGUAUGUUAUACAUUAUCGAUAUAUGUAGGUUAUUCGAAGAGCUAUGUAGUGUAAGUAGUAAAGGAACAUAAAAGGAAAGUUUCCUAACUUACUCAAUAUUUGCAUUUGAGCAAGUUUUCCAACUUCAUAUGAUAAUUUUCUUAUGAAGGCUAUUUGAUGUAUUAAGGUUCAAUUUACAUACUAUAUAUAUAUAUAUAUAUAUAUAUAUAUAUAUAUAUAUAUAUUGUGUGUGUGUGUGGAUGCUAAAUGUGUGCAAUUUCUUUAAUAAUUGUACUAGAUGUUCAAGCUAUGCUAAGUUACAGAGCUAUAUAUGUUUGAUGUUUGAAUUUCAUUAGUUACAUGAGAUUCAUUAGAUGAGAUGAGAUGAAUUAUUCUAUUCAGAAAUCUUAUUGAUGUAGAUGUGAAUUAUAAUAAUUCUUGAAUUGUGAUAAGUGUUGAUGCCAAAUCAAUAAUUUGGGCAAUUAAUAGUAUAGUUUGCACUUUGUGCGACAAUGGAUUUAUGUAGAUAGAUAUGGAUAUGAUUACACCACGUGCAAUGAUAUGAUGGCAAUUAUAAGAAAUAAAGUGCUAGACCAAUAUCCACACUUAGGUGCAAUCCAAAGAAAUUUUCUAAAAAUUGGAUUGUUUAAGAUGCUAAGUUCUAAACAGCAAGAACUAUGAUGAGAAAUAUGUCGAUUUUAAUUGUUUUAAAAUAUGGUGAUGGUUAGGAUGAUGUUAGAAAUGUUUUUUGAUAAGGAAUCUAAAUUAUUCCUUAUAUAUUAUUUUUAUGACUUCACAAUUAUUGUUUCAAUUGUUGAAGAUUUCAUCAUAUGUUAUUCUAAUCCUAUGGUGUUGUUUAUUCAACCGUUUAUACUUUCUUGGAAAUUGAAUGCUCACCAUUGCUAAAUACAAAUAUUUUUUAGCUAAGCCAAAGCAGAUCAAAGGAUUCGAUAAAGUCAGAAGAUGAAGAAUUAAUGCUUGAAGAUGCUUUGUAUUAAUCCCCUAACUCUUUGUUGGAAGGUGGAGCUGCAUAAGAGGGUAUAAUACCCAGAGGAAAUCCAUUGCUGAUAAAUUAGAGUUGUUGGAUUCUAAAGGCUCGGCUAGCUCGAGCUCUGUCCAGUGGAAUGAGUUUGCCGAGAACGGCUUGAGCUGAGCCGUGAAGGGUUUGUGGGCAAGCGAUGUUCAGGUCCCAAAACUUCGAGUCCAUGGUCGUUCUCAGGUUGGCCAUUUUCGGCCAAUUUAUAGCACCAGUUAGAAGAAAGUUUUUUGAGCAAGAGAGACUGGAGACAGAAAGCCCCCAACUCUUUGUUGAAAGAUGGAGCUGUGUCGACUCGGGGGACUAGCUUUCCUGGAUUUUUUUAUUUCUUACCCUUUGUAUUUCGCUAGGUUGAUGAUUUAUUUAAAGGAUGAGAUUUUAUGAAAUGACCAACAUAUAUACAUGUCGAGGAUUUUGAAAAGGUUGAUUUUAUGCAAUUAGACCAAAUUAGACAAAGUCAUCAGGUGGUAUGAGUUCAAAAGGAUGUAACAAUUCAUCCAGAUUUUAAAAGGUUUUUUGUAAUAUGGCCC
rnacentral:lncRNA from 1 species